AUGUCAGAGCUAGCUUCAAUCCCCUGCAGUUCCAAGAGGGCGCGAGGCACUAGUGAUGGUGUCGACAGGCUCAGCAGCCUUCCAGACGAGCUGCUACAUUGCGUGAUGUCCUUCCUGCCGAUGCCGGAGGCCGGGCGCACAAGUCUGCUCUCGCCGAGGUGGCUUAAUCUCUGGGCCUCUACGCCAUACAUCCGCAUCGACCACCAGGACUUUAUGGAUGACGGCAAGCUGAAGAAAUUCGGGGACCGCCUGCUGCUCAUGCGCGACAGAACUACUUCCUUGGAUAAAGCCUGGAUCUCUGUGCACCAUGUUGCUGAUAGGACCAUGUGUUAUGAGUGGAUUCGUCAUGCCAUCAUGCACAAUGUCUCGUUCGAGAGGAGUUUGAGGACAUGCCCGAUGUUCAGCAACCUGACAAGCCUGGUGCUGGGCGAGUGGUGCAUGGCUGCUGACUUCUACCCGCUGCUUCGCAUCCUCCAGCGCUCGUGCAAGCUGAAGGAGCUAAAACUUAAGCUCACAAAGGAGGAAUUUAGUACGUGCAAGGAUUCUGAACCUGCUCUGUCGUCAACAAGGGGAGCACUGCCGUCGGGCUCAGGCAGCCACCCUUGCAUCGAGAGGGUCAAAAUCUGCUGCCAUGAACAUGAUCCAAGGGUUAGCUCGUUGGUGCAGGCGUUGCAGCUGAUUGUCGGUGAUGUGAAAAUCAGCAUCGAGCAUCGCUGA
rnacentral:rRNA from 1 species